UUUAACGCGUUGAAGAGUCAAAGUAGAUUAACUAUCUUAGUUUCAGAAAAUUGGUGGGAGCUGCGAACCAAUCGAGAUAAUUAAUUGAAUUACGGGCUUGGAGCAUCUUUACUUAAAAAAUAAAGACGGAACUGGGCCGUUAUUCCAAUUGAGAGAGAAAUAAGUAAUUAUUUCUAAUUAGGGUGGUACCGCGAAAUAAUAAAUUCGUCCCUGUU
rfam:Carnobacterium maltaromaticum LMA28 complete genome